AACGAACGCUGGCGGCAGGCCUAACACAUGCAAGUCGAGCGAAGCCUUCGGGCUUAGCGGCGGACGGGUGAGUAACGCGUGGGAACGUGCCCUUUGGUACGGAAUAGCCCCGGGAAACUGGGAGUAAUACCGUAUGUGGUCGAAAUACGAAAGAUUUAUCGCCAAAGGAUCGGCCCGCGUUGGAUUAGGUAGUUGGUGGGGUAAUGGCCUACCAAGCCGACGAUCACUAGCUGGUUUGAGAGGAUGGUCAGCCACACUGGGACUGAGACACGGCCCAGACUCCGACGGGAGGCAGCAGUGGGGAAUCUUAGACAAUGGGGGAAACCCUGAUCUAGCCAUGCCGCGUGAUCGAUGAAGGCCUUAGGGUUGUAAAGAUCUUUCAGUGGGGAAGAUAAUGACUGUACCCACAGAAGAAGCCCCGGCCAACUCUGUGCCAGCAGCCGCCGUAAAAC
rnacentral:rRNA from 1 species